rnacentral:rRNA from 1 species
UUAGCCGGUACUCGCGAAUGCUCUAGAUUAAAGUUUGAUCAUGGCUCAGGNCUGAACGCUGGCGGCGAUGCCUAAUACAUGCAAGUCGAGCGAAUGGAUUAAGAGCUUGCUCUUAUGAAGUUAGCGGCGGACGGGUGAGUAACACGUGGGUAACCUGCCCAUAAGACUGGGAUAACUCCGGGAAACCGGGGCUAAUACCGGAUAACAUUUUGAACCGCAUGGUUCGAAAUUGAAAGGCGGCUUCGGCUGUCACUUAUGGAUGGACCCGCGUCGCAUUAGCUAGUUGGUGAGGUAACGGCUCACCAAGGCAACGAUGCGUAGCCGACCUGAGAGGGUGAUACGGCCACACUGGGACUGAGACACGGCCCAGACUCCUACGGGAGGCAGCAGUAGGGAAUCUUCCGCAAUGGACGAAAGUCUAACGGAGCAACGCCGCGUGAGUGAUGAAGGCUUUCCGGUCGUAAAACUCUGUUGUUAGGGAAGAACAAGUGCUAGUUGAAUAAGCUGGCACCUUGACGGUACCUAACCAGAAAGCCACGGCUAACUACGUGCCAGCAGUCGCGGGUACAUAUGUNGUNGGCGCAGCGGUGUUACCCNGGAGAUUUUUGGGGCUUUAAAGGGCNUCCCCCAGGUUGGUUCCUUAGUCUGAUUUUGAAGCCCCACGGGUUCCACCCGGGGGAGGGGNCCCUUGGCAACCCUUUGGGGNGANACUUUUGCAUUUGCCUCAACACAGGCACANUUGGGACUUCCCUUUNUUACCGGUGAAAUUCCGUUAGCGAUUUUUGGGCGACCCCCUUGGNGAGGCGACUUCCUGGUCCNNACNUGAACUUGGGGAACUGAUGGGGGCACACCAGUAUCCCGAUUCGUCUUNCNGGUAUUAUUCAUCUGCUCUUUUG